rnacentral:rRNA from 1 species
CCCUUAGAUGUCCGGGGCCGCACCCGCGCUACACUGAAGGAAUCAGCGUGGCUUUCUCCCUGACCCGAAAGGGUUGGGAAACCCGUUGAAUCUCCUUCGUGAUAGGGAUUGGGGCUUGAAAUUGUUCCCCAUGAACGAGGAAUUCCCAGUAAGCGCGAGUCAUAAGCUCGCGUUGAUUACGUCCCUGCCCUUUGUACACACCGCCCGUCGCUACUACCGAUUGAACGGUUUAGUGAGGGCCUCGGAUUGGUCUCGGCCCGCUCUUUACCGGGCGGCGCCGUUGGUCGAGAAGACGCUCGAACUUGAUCGUUUAGAGGAAGUAAAAGUCGUAACA